CCCUUAGAUGUUCUGGGCGGCCCGCGCACUACAAUGGCGCUUUCAGCGAGUUCCUAUGUUGAAUUUUCCUUGGUAUUCUUGGAAGCGGCGUCUUGACUUGGGAUAGAUCCUUGUAAUUGUUGGUUUUGAACGAGGAAUUCCUUGUAAUCGCGGUUGAUCAGCUCGCGUUGAAUACGUCCCUGCCCUUUGUACACACCGCCCGUCGCUCCUACCGAUGAAUCGUCCGGUGAAGUUCACAGAGUGGCGGUUCGUGGAGUUGCUCGCAAAGUGAAAUGGACCUCACGAUUUAGAGGAAGGAGAAGUCGUAACA
rnacentral:rRNA from 1 species